GUAGGGAAUAUUGGGCAAUGGUCGGAAGACUGACCCAGCCAUGCCGCGUGCAGGAAGACGGCCCUCUGGGUUGUAAACUGCUUUUAUCUGGGAAGAAAAAGGCCAUGCGUGGCAAAUUGCCGGUACCAGAUGAAUAAGCACCGGCUAACUCCGUGCCAGCAGCCGCGGUAAUACGGAGGGUGCGAGCGUUGUCCGGAUUUAUUGGGUUUAAAGGGUGCGUAGGCGGCUGAUUAAGUCAGCGGUGAAAGACUUCGGCUUAACCGGAGCAGUGCCGUUGAUACUGGUUGGCUUGAGUGUCGGAGGGGUACAUGGAAUUGAUGGUGUAGCGGUGAAAUGCAUAGAUACCAUCAGGAACACCGAUAGCGAAGGCAUUGUACUGACCGACAACUGACGCUGAUGCACGAAAGUGUGGGGAUCGAACAGGAUUAGAAACCCUAGUAGUCC
rnacentral:rRNA from 1 species